ensembl:lncRNA
UCCCUGUUCCAGCAGUAAAUUCUGCUGACGCCGAGCUCUCAGCAUCCACAGACAGAACUUUCCUCAACAACUUUCCAUUGUGUUCAUGUGCCAGGAGGAAGCACAGGGAGAAAAUAUAUGGACCGGUUCUUAAACAUCCCACCUAAAGUAAGACAUAUUUAUGACAUGAGAGCGCCUGACGCAUCCAUCACGUUGGUGCAAUGGGAGAUAACGCGCGUCUCUGUUUAUACAUUAGCCUUCUAAACGAGUGUUGCCUUACAUAGACAGCAGCAACAUCAGAGGAUUUACCUCGUUCCCGUGUGGGUUCGGGAGAGCGGCAAUAAAUUAUAGUUACUGGUGGUAAUAAAAGAUGUGUCUCUGUGUUUGGAGGUUUGAAGUGGGAGGAUAAAGAUCUUUGUCUGCACGUGGUCUUCAGAAGAGUGCCGGCCUUCACACACACACACACCUUUCAAACAAAGUGUGUGUGAUGGAGACGCCGGAGUCAGUCGUCUCCACACAGGGACUCUUCGGUGGGCAGGGUUCAGAACAUCCAGGUCCACGCCGGCAGAAAGGGCGCAGGAGGAGCAAAGGUCUGUUUCCAAACCCACCCCGAGCUAUUGUGCAAUGUGCUAAAGUCAACUCUUCCCUCAGCUGUUCAAACAGGUAGCGCGGAAACCUGGGUGCUGUGUUUAAGUUGAUCGGGCUGCAGACAUCCUCUGAGCAAACAGGUGAGCGUGGGGACAACUGUGGACAACUGUGUGUGUGUGUGUGUGUGUGUGUACAUUUGGUGGUGACUGUGGCCCUGUGAAAAGAAGCUGCUUCCCUUUCUGUCCACUGUGUGUGAACAGGUGAGUGCUCCACUAUCCACUGUCCCACCAAACCCCUCAAACACACCUAAUCACACACCCGCACAUCUCAAAUACACACAUCCCUGCUGAUUCUCCCUAAGCACAGUCGUGUUUCCUCGUCCAGAGAUUCCAGCAGCAGCAACAGCAGCACUCACUUAACGUCCUUCUGUGUCCACAUGUGUCCGUGUGUGUGUGUCAAACAAGCAUUGUGUUCUUUCAAAUACCCUGAUUAUGUUGUCUCUUGUUGUGGGGAUUCAGCAGGAGGCGUCCCAGCAUCAAGGCCCAAACACUGCAUGAAACCCUGCAGGGAAAAACAGCUGACAGCCGUCGGAAUGCUCCCGGACACAUGAGGUUAACUGGGCUUUAACCUCUGCACCGUGGGAGGGGAGCACUGCUAAAACAGCACAGACCUCCAACUGGACUGUCAUCAGAAGCUUACAUUAGACAACCAAGUGCUCAUGACAUGAAGAUGAGUGCAUUCGAGCCAGUGUUUGGUUAACAGACACGGUGCAGAUGUGCAAGAAAAGCUUCCAGUGUGCAGCGCUGAAGCUAAAGGAGUCAAACUGUCAUUGAGUGCAGAUGCUGUUUUUACCAAAUUUGUGCUCAAAUGUUCUCAUAUAAUCACUUUGAAAGUAUAAAACUUACAUUUCCAAAUUCCAGCACGGAUUUCUAAAUAUAUAGACAGCACUGAAGACGGUGGGUUGCGGGUUUGGUGGUUCACAUUGUGGCCUCAGAGCAAAAAGGUCCUGGGUUCGACUCAGAGCCUCUCUGUCUGGAGGUUUGCAUGUUCUCCACGUUCUCUCCGCCUGUGUCCCACAAAGUCUCCGGUAAUUUCCAACCAGUAGCCUCAACUGAUUGUAGAUCUGGAAAACGUCUUAAACGAGGUGCCUCUCAUAUCCUCAGAGUCCAUG